rnacentral:rRNA from 1 species
GGGGGAUAUUGCGCAAUGGGGGCAACCCUGACGCAGCAACGCCGCGUGAAGGAUGAAGGUUUUCGGAUUGUAAACUUCUUUUAUUAAGGACGAAAAAUGACGGUACUUAAUGAAUAAGCUCCGGCUAACUACGUGCCAGCAGCCGCGGUAAUACGUAGGGAGCAAGCGUUGUCCGGAUUUACUGGGUGUAAAGGGUGCGUAGGCGGCUUUGCAAGUCAGAUGUGAAAUCUAUGGGCUCAACCCAUAAACUGCAUUUGAAACUGUAGAGUUUGAGUGAAGUAGAGGCAGGCGGAAUUCCCCGUGUAGCGGUGAAAUGCGUAGAGAUGGGGAGGAACACCAGUGGCGAAGGCGGCCUGCUGGGCUUUAACUGACGCUGAGGCACGAAAGCGUGGGUAGCAAACAGGAUUAGAUACCCUGGUAGUCCACGCUGUAAACGAUGAUUACUAGGUGUGGGGGGUCUGACCCCUUCCGUGCCGGAGUUAACACAAUAAGUAAUCCACCUGGGGAGUACGGCCGCAAGGUUGAAACUCAAAGGAAUUGACGGGGGCCCGCACAAGCAGUGGAGUAUGUGGUUUAAUUCGAAGCAACGCGAAGAACCUUACCAGGUCUUGACAUCCAACUAACGAAGUAGAGAUACAUUAGGUGCCCUUCGGGGAAAGUUGAGACAGGUGGUGCAUGGUUGUCGUCAGCUCGUGUCGUGAGAUGUUGGGUUAAGUCCCGCAACGAGCGCAACCCUUGCUAUUAGUUGCUACGCAAGAGCACUCUAAUAGGACUGCCGUUGACAAAACGGAGGAAGGUGGGGACGACGUCAAAUCAUCAUGCCCCUUAUGACCUGGGCUACACACGUACUACAAUGGAUGUUAACAGAGGGAAGCAAGACAGCGAUGUGGAGCAAACCCCUAAAAACAUUCUCAGUUCAGAUUGCAGGCUGCAACCCGCCUGCAUGAAGAUGGAAUUGCUAGUAAUCGCGGAUCAGCAUGCCGCGGUGAAUACGUUCCCG